AGCGAACGCUGGCGGCAGGCCUAACACAUGCAAGUCGAACGAACCUUUCGGGGUUAGUGGCGGACGGGUGAGUAACACGUGGGAACGUGCCUUUAGGUUCGGAAUAACUCAGGGAAACUUGUGCUAAUACCGAAUGUGCCCUUCGGGGGAAAGAGUUAUCGCCUUUAGAGCGGCCCGCGUCUGAUUAGCUAGUUGGUUGAGGUAAUGGCUCACCAAGGCGACGAUCAGUAGCUGGUCUGAGAGGAUGAGCAGCCACAUUGGGUCUGAGACACGGCCCAAACUCCUACGGGAGGCAGCAGUGGGGAAUCUUGCGCAAUGGGCGAAAGCCUGACGCAGCCAUGCCGCGUGAAUGAUGAAGGUCUUAGGAUUGUAAAAUUCUUUCACCGGGGACGAUAAUGACGGUACCCGGAGAAGAAGCCCCGGCUAACUUCGUG
rnacentral:rRNA from 1 species